rnacentral:rRNA from 1 species
AUCAACUUUCGAUGGUAGGAUAGAGGCCUACCAUGGUGGUAACGGGUAGCGGGGUGUUAGGGCACGACACCGGAGAGGGAGCCUGAGAAACGGCUACCACAUCCAAGGAUGGCAGCAGGCGCGCAAAUUACCCAAUCCCGACACGGGGAGGUAGUGACAAUAAAUAACAAUACGGGGUCCUUUCGGGUUUCGUAAUUGGAAUGAGUACAAUUUAAAUCUCUUAACGAGGAACAAUUGGAGGGCAAGUCUGGUGCCAGCAGCCGCGGUAAUUCCAGCUCCAAUAGCGUAUAUUAAAGUUGUUGCAGUUAAAAAGCUCGUAGUUGAAUUUCGGGAUUAGUACGUUGGUCGUGCCUUCGGUACGUACUGGUGUUACUGAUUCCUACCUUCUGACGAACCAUCAUGUCAUUAAUUUGGUGUGGUGGGAAAUCAGGACUGUUACUUUGAAAAAAUUAGAGUGUUUAAAGCAGGCUCGCGCUUGAAUACAUUAGCAUGGAAUAAUGAAAUAGGACGUUGACCCUAUUUUGUUGGUUUCUAGGAUUGACGUAAUGAUUAAUAGGGAUAGUUGGGGGCAUUAGUAUUCAAUUGUCAGAGGUGAAAUUCUUGGAUUUAUUGAAGACUAACUACUGCGAAAGCAUUUGCCAAGGAUGUUUUUAUUAAUCAAGAACGAAAGUUAGGGGAUCGAAGACGAUCAGAUACCGUCGUAGUCUUAACCAUAAACUAUGCCGACUAGGGAUCGGAUGAUGUUAUUUUUAAUGACUCAUUCGGCGCCUUACGGGAAACCAAAGUGUUUGGGUUC